rnacentral:rRNA from 1 species
AGCGAACGUUAGCGGCAGGCCUAACACAUGCAAGUCGCACGAGAAUUCGGCUUCGGCCGAUAGUAAAGUGGCGGACGGGUGAGUAACACGUGGAUAAUCUGCCCUUCGGCGGGGGACAACAGUCCGAGAGGAUUGCUAAUACCGCAAACGUCAACGAGGUCUUCGGACCUUGUUGGGAAAGGUGGCCUCCUCAUGAAAGCUACCACCGAAGGAUGAGUCCGGCUCCCAUCAGCUAGUUGGCGGUGUAAUGGACCACCAAGGCUAAGACGGGUAGCGGGUCUGAGAGGAUGAUCAGCCACACUGGGACUGAGACACGGCCCAGACUCCUACGGGAGGCAGCAGUGGGGAAUAUUGGGCAAUGGGCGCAAGCCUGACCCAGCCAUGCCGCGUGAGUGAUGAAGGCCUUCGGGUCGUAAAGCUCUGUGGGGAGGGAAGAAACAGCUUGUGGCUAACAUCCACGAGCCCUGACGGUACCUCCUUAGCAAGCACCGGCUAACUCCGUGCCAGCCGCCGCCGUAA